ensembl:lincRNA
GCAGGGUUUGGGUCAGGUGAGGUUCUGCAUAGCUAACAAUACCCCAAUUAUGCUAUGCUGCUGCCAAGGGACCUCACAAGGAGGUAGUACAAGCCACUGCUAGUGGCUAUACAAAAGAGUGAAGCCUUCUAAGUACAGUACCUGGCACAAUGAAUUGUCAAGCAAAUGGCAAAUCUUCUCUGCAGAGGGGAACUGAGACCCAGUACCCACAAUCCAUUCUGGAGUCUCCUAAUAAUCCUGAAGAGGGAAGCCCAGAGGAAAUCAUCUGGUCUAACCAUAAAAUCAUCAAUACUGAGAAAUUAAAAGGGGAACAUGUCAGGCCUCACUCUUUCUGUACUGGCUUUCAAGAGUAUUGUCCUUGGUCACCAGGUAUGCCCCUGGGCUCCUGCCGCAGCUGAUCGGGUGCUAGGUGCUGAGGAUACACGGUGAGUUCCUUCUCUCCCCUCAGGGGCCGGUGUCUGGAUGGGUAACUUUAAUAUGAUGUCGGAUACAGAGAGGGCCAAAAGAGCAUGAAGGAAGGCCCUUGACCUUCCAGGUGGUGAGCUGGAGACCUUGGGGAGAUGGAGUGAGGUGCAAUUUGCAGGAAGAAAGGAGUUACCCAGGUGAGCGGGAGGAAGGCAAUGGCAUUCCCAGUAGAGGGAGCUCUCUUUUUGUAUAUUGUGGACAGGAAGGAAGUGGGAGGUGGAAGGGGGGAAGAAGGUGGUCAGAAGGAAGAAAAGGAAUUGCAUUCUCUCCCUUUCCUACCCAUCUGCACUCUUAUUGCUGCAGAAAUAGAGAGAGAAAAUCCACAUCUAGGGAUGGUUUUUAUCAGCUUAAAGGAGGUAGAAUAAAUUUGGAUUACUGUUUCUAAUAGCAACAAAACAAACAAAUCAGAAAACCCAAGCUGCAUGCAACCUGAAUGUCUAUCCAUAGACAUUGCUUAAACAAAC